ACAGCAGUCGCCGCGGUAAUACGUAGGGUGCAAGCGUUAUUCGGAAUUACUGGGCGUAAAGCGUGCGCAGGCGGUUAUAUAAGACAGAUGUGAAAUCCCCGGGCUCAACCUGGGAACUGCAUUUGUGACUGUAUAGCUAGAGUACGGCAGAGGGGGAUGGAAUUCCGCGUGUAGCAGUGAAAUGCGUAGAUAUGCGGAGGAACACCGAUGGCGAAGGCAAUCCCCUGGGCCUGUACUGACGCUCAUGCACGAAAGCGUGGGGAGCAAACAGGAUUAGAUACCCCUGUAGUCCCUGUCUCUUAUAC
rnacentral:rRNA from 1 species